rnacentral:rRNA from 1 species
AUUGAACGCUGGCGGCAGGCCUAACACAUGCAAGUCGAGCGAGCGGCGGACGGGUGAGUAAUGUAUAGGGGACUGUCCGAUAGAGGGGGAUAACAACUGGCAACGGUGUCUAAUACACCAUACCAUCGGAUAUACCCAGAUGGGGUUAGCUAGUAGGUGAGGUAAUGGCUUACAUAGGCGACGAUCCCUAGCUGGUCUGAGAGGGUGAUCAGCCACACUGGGAAUGAGACACGGCCCAGACUCCUACGGGAGGCAGCAGUGGGUAAUAUUGCACAAUGGGCGCAAGCCUGAUGCAGCCAUGCCGCGUGUAUGAAGAAGGCCUUAGGGUUGGAAAGGACGUUCAGCAGGGAGGCGUUACCCACAGAAGAAGCACCGGCUAACUCCGUGCCAGCAGCCGCGGUAAUAC